rnacentral:rRNA from 1 species
AGUGAACGCUGGCGGUAGGCCUAACACAUGCAAGUCGAACGGCAGCACAGUAAGAGCUUGCUCUUACGGGUGGCGAGUGGCGGACGGGUGAGGAAUACAUCGGAAUCUACUUUUUCGUGGGGGAUAACGUAGGGAAACUUACGCUAAUACCGCAUACGACCUACGGGUGAAAGCAGGGGACCUUCGGGCCUUGCGCGAUUGAAUGAGCCGAUGUCGGAUUAGCUAGUUGGCGGGGUAAAGGCCCACCAAGGCGACGAUCCGUAGCUGGUCUGAGAGGAUGAUCAGCCACACUGGAACUGAGACACGGUCCAGACUCCUACGGGAGGCAGCAGUGGGGAAUAUUGGACAAUGGGCGCAAGCCUGAUCCAGCCAUACCGCGUGGGUGAAGAAGGCAUUCGGGUUGUAAAGCCCUUUUGUUGGGAAAGAAAUCCAGCCGGCUAAUACCUGGUUGGGAUGACGGUACCCAAAGAAUAAGCACCGGCUAACUUCGUGCCAGCCGCCGCAGUAAAAC